rnacentral:rRNA from 1 species
UACAGAGGUCCCAAGCGUUGUUCGGGUUCAUUGGGCGUAAAGGGUGCGUAGGUGGCGCUGUAAGUCGGGUGUGAAAUUUCGGAGCUUAACUCCGAAACUGCAUUCGAUACUGCGGUGCUUGAGGACUGGAGAGGAGACUGGAAUUCAUGGUGUAGCAGUGAAAUGCGUAGAGAUCAUGAGGAAGACCAGUGGCGAAGGCGGGUCUCUGGACAGUUCCUGACACUGAGGCACGAAGGCCAGGGGAGCAAACGGG